rnacentral:rRNA from 1 species
GUAGUGACAAGAAAUAACAAUACGGGGCUUAAUGUCUUGUAAUUGGAAUGAUGGGAAUUUAAACCUCUUCCAGAGUAUCAAUUGGAGGGCAAGUCUGGUGCCAGCAGCCGCGGUAAUUCCAGCUCCAAUAGCGUAUAUUAAAAUUGUUGCAGUUAAAAAGCUCGUAGUUGAAUUUCUGCUGCAUUGCAUUUUCUCCUAUACGAGUUUUUGCAUUGUGGCUUAUUUCGGUUAUAAAAUUAAUUUUAUUUCCGGAUGUUUACUUUGAGAAAAUUAGAGUGCUCAAAGCAGGCUUUUGCCUUGAAUAGUUUAGCAUGGAAUAAUAAAGUAGGACUUUGGUUCUAUUUUGUUGGUUUUAGGUACCAAAGUAAUGGUUAAUAGGAAC